CAGCCCUUCCCGCAGCCGCGCCGCGCGCGCCGGGCCCCGCGCUCCGGAAGUCCGCCCGCGGCCGCUCUAGCACGGGAGCGCGCCGCUCGGUGCCCUUAACCCCUGCGACGCCGCGGCGCGCUCGGCCGUGGCGGAGGCGCGCGUCCCUCCUUUGUUCCCUCGGAGCCUCACACAAGGCCGGCGGGGAGAGCGCGGGGCACCGCACGCUACAGACGGGGCCGCUGGAGUCCCAGCCGCGGAGCCAGGCCCCCCCCUCGAGGCUGUGCUCACCCCCCCCGCCCGGCCUGGCCUCCCUCGCUGGGGCUUAAAAAUAAACACGUCAAACCCUCAACGGGGCCUUGCAGGCCGCCGCGGACUUGGGCUUCUCUUUGGCAUUUCCUAGUGCCCGGAGUGCCCGGAGUCCUACCCGUGGUUCUAAACAUUCAAGGCUGGAGAUAACCAUGACUUCCACAGAAAGCGGGUCUACACACAGCGGCUCAGGCGCUCUGCACUUGGUUCCCACGGUGCCUGACACGGUCGGAGAGGUUCGACCCCAAAGACGAGGCAAGGAUCACUGGCCCCAUCUUUCAGACGAGCAGCUGAAGUCCAGGCUGGGGAGGGACUUGCCCAAGAUGACACAAGUUAAUGCGGAUCCGCUGACUAUGAAAACCUCCAUUCCUACCCUAUCCUGACCAUUGGCUACACCACCAGCUGCCCUCAGAGGGGACUGCAGGACCAAGAGGGGACUGGGAGCAAAGCCACUGCCAAGUGAAAGUCAGUAGACAGAAGUCAGGGAAUGGAAAGGGAGUUACCCUUGUGGUUGCCCUGGAUGGGGCCCUGGGGGGCCAAUCAGACACAGACCUGCCUUCACAGAGGCGGCAACUCAGUCACCUGCUGUGGGGAUUCUGCCCACUUCUGAGUAUGCCUGUUCCAAUUAUGCACUCUGACACGGAGGAAACAACCACAGAAGGGGUUUGGGGACCCACUGGACUCACUGUGAGCUAGACCUGAGCUUAGUGAGGUUUGGGCGUCCAGGAGCACAGAGUUGACUACUGUACUAGAAAUGUAAGCACAAGAGUAGAAUUUUGCCAGCGGAGAAAGGGAGAUGUGUUUCCUUUCCUUCUUAUGUUCAUUUGUCAUUGAUGAACAUCUACCACUUACCAGGCCUGGCCCUAUUUACCUGGACCCUGGGAGGACAGCGAUGAACCUGCUAGCUUUAUUCUAGCAAGGGAAGUGAGCUGUUAAGCAAAAGAGGAAGUGCAGUGACUAACCAGUGACCUGACCUAGUUUGAGGGUCAGGGAAACUUCCUGAAAUAGACAAAAUCUAAGCCAAGGCCUGAAAGAUAAGUAGGCACUGGCCAGGAAGAAAGAAAGAACAGAGGAAGGGACGAGUUCCCCAGGCAGAGCGUGCCGCACCUGACAGAAGGAGAACUAGCCUGCCCAGGCUCGGUGUAUUAGAAGGGCCUAGAAGAGUCCCUAGCCAAUAGUAAGUGCACAAGAAAUACAUGUCGCUACAAAUAAAGGAAUUCUGCCCCUGCUGAGCUGGCAGACUGAUGCCUCAGACGGAAGCCAACACGGACCAUCCCAAGGCAAUGCCUGAUGUUCUCUGAAAUGGGCACAGGAGGCGGAGGGCAUGAUAACGAAGUCAUGGGGAAGCCAAGGUUAGAAAAAAAAAAGAACGCGUCCCCCAGAUGAAGAGAGCAUGAGAGGGACACUCCUGGCGGAGCAAACAGCACGAACAAACCGCACAGUAUGAACCCAGCCUCUGAGACUUGAGCUGUGCCUGAGGUGUCCACUUCCUGCCUGGGCCUCAGGAGUACAGCCCCCCAGCCUUCCGCUGCCCCAGAGCCCCCACUGCAUCAGCGACCCAGGAGUCCAGCCAUCUGGCCUCUCUCACCUC